AUUGAACGCUGGCGGCAGGCCUAACACAUGCAAGUCGAGCGGCAGCGGAAAGUAGCUUGCUACUUUGCCGGCGAGCGGCGGACGGGUGAGUAAUGUCUGGGGAUCUGCCUGAUUGAGGGGGAUAACUACUGGAAACGGUAGCUAAUACCGCAUAACGUCGCAAGACCAAAGCGGGGGACCUUCGGGCCUCGCGCCCUCAGAUGAACCCAGAUGGGAUUAGCUAGUAGGUGGGGUAAUGGCUCACCUAGGCGACGAUCCCUAGCUGGUCUGAGAGGAUGACCAGCCACACUGGAACUGAGACACGGUCCAGACUCCUACGGGAGGCAGCAGUGGGGAAUAUUGCACAAUGGGCGCAAGCCUGAUGCAGCCAUGCCGCGUGUAUGAAGAAGGCCUUCGGGUUGUAAAGUACUUUCAGCGAGGAGGAAGGCGGUAAGGUUAAUAACCUUACUGAUUGACGUUACUCGCAGAAGAAGCACCGGCUAACUCCGUG
rnacentral:rRNA from 1 species